rnacentral:rRNA from 1 species
GAUGAACGCUGGCGGCGUGCCUAAUACAUGCAAGUCGAGCGAACAGACGAGGAGCUUGCUCCUCUGACGUUAGCGGCGGACGGGUGAGUAACACGUGGAUAACCUACCUAUAAGACUGGGAUAACUUCGGGAAACCGGAGCUAAUACCGGAUAAUAUAUUGAACCGCAUGGUUCAAUAGUGAAAGACGGUUUUGCUGUCACUUAUAGAUGGAUCCGCGCCGCAUUAGCUAGUUGGUAAGGUAACGGCUUACCAAGGCAACGAUGCGUAGCCGACCUGAGAGGGGGAUCGGCCACACGGGAACGGAGACACGGUCCAGACCCCUAGGGGGGGCAGCAGUAGGGAAUCUUCCGAAAUGGGCGAAAGCCUGACGGAGCAACGCCGGGUGGGUGAUGAAGGUCUUCGGAUCGUAAAACUUUGUUAUUAGGGAAAAACAAAUGUGUAAGUAACUAUGCACGUCUUGACGGUACCUAAUCAGAAAGCCCCGGCUAACUACGU